UCCAAAGGAAGAAGAACGCAGCCAUUUUCUCCCACAGCAGAAUGAGUUCUAGUGUUCCACUCACUCUUAUGUGGCUGGGCAGUAGGCACUGAACUCUCCCCUCUCCCUCUAUCUAAUUGGUCUAGGACCAAGGAAUCUGAAGGACCAUCUUCCCACAUACAAACCUGCCUGUCAGGUAAGAUCUUCAUCAGAGGCUGAUCUCCCUGGAGAAGGGGUUAGGUAAGUGACCACCAAAGGACUUUUUCUGUGGCUGCACCUUGAAUGUGGCUCUCUUUCAUCAGUAAAGUUUGCCUGGUGCUGCCUUCAUUAUAUUUUAGGCAUUGAGUGAAGUCUGCCCUGUUUGCUUGAGUUUUUAGUGGUUACGGAUAUAUAUAUUUUAUUAUGUAGAGUGAUUAUGAUGGCUGGUCCUUUUAUUAUUUUAUUAGUUGUUUUCUGGCAAUUUAUUUGGGUUUUUUCAAAUAACGUCUGGUCAAUUAGUGCUGCUCUUUUUUACAUGCUAUUUGAUUUAUUACUGACUUUUAAAUGGUUUUUAUAUUGAUUGUUUUUAUGGAUCUGUGUAAGUCGCCUUGAAUGUUGUUUUUGGCAGAAAGACAGCAUAGAAGAUUCAUCAGCAAAAUAAAUAAAUACAUAAAACACAUGAAAAUGUUUUGGUUCACAAAGAAGGAAAACAGAACUGUGGUCAAAAAUACAGCAAGGGUAGUAAUCACUGUUUAUUUGUUUCUCCCUUACUUGGAAAAAGAUUUGUACAGAUCAAGGGAACAGAAGAUUCCCCUUUACUGUUAUAUGUGUUUUGCAGAGGAAAUGGAAGAUCUUCUACAAAUCAUGAGAACUAUUAAAAACUAAUUGAAAUCUAUGUAUUUUAUACUGCUUUAAUUAUAAACGCCAGCUUUUCAUAAA